rnacentral:rRNA from 1 species
GAUGAACGCUAGCGGCAGGCUUAAUACAUGCAAGUCGAGGGGCAGCAUGAUUGUAGCAAUACAAUUGAUGGCGACCGGCAAACGGGUGCGGAACACGUACACAACCUUCCAACAAGUGGGGGAUAGCCCAGAGAAAUUUGGAUUAAUACCCCGUAACAUAGCGAUGUGGCAUCACAUUGCUAUUAUAGAUUUUUCGCUUGUUGAUGGGUGUGCGGCUGAUUAGAUAGUUGGCGGGGUAACGGCCCACCAAGUCUACGAUCAGUAGCUGAUGUGAGAGCAUGAUCAGCCACACGGGCACUGAGACACGGGCCCGACUCCUACGGGAGGCAGCAGUAAGGAACAUUGGACAAUGGACGCAAGUCUGAUCCAGCCAUGCCGCGUGAAGGAUUAAGGUCCUCUGGAUUGUAAACUUCUCUUAUAAGGGACGAAAAAAGGCUUUUCUAAGUCGUCUGACGGUACCUUAUGAAUAAGCACCGGCUAACUACGUGCCAGCAGCCGCCGUAACAC